rnacentral:rRNA from 1 species
CCAGACUCCUACGGGAGGCAGCAGUGAGGAAUCUUCCACAAUGGGCGAAAGCCUGAUGGAGCAACGCCGCGUGCAGGAUGAAGGCCUUCGGGUUGUAAACUGCUUUUAUAAGUGAGGAAUAUGACGGUAACUUAUGAAUAAGGAUCGGCUAACUACGUGCCAGCAGCCGCGGUCAUACGUAGGAUCCGAGCGUUAUCCGGAGUGACUGGGCGUAAAGAGUUGCGUAGGCGGUUUGUUAAGCGAAUAGUGAAACCUGGUGGCUCAACCAUACAGACUAUUAUUCGAACUGGCAAACUCGAGAGUGGUAGAGGUCACUGGAAUUUCUUGUGUAGGAGUGAAAUCCGUAGAUAUAAGAAGGAACACCAAUGGCGUAGGCAGGUGACUAGACCAUUUCUGACGCUAAGGCACGAAAGCGUGGGGAGCGAACCGGAUUAGAUACCCGGGUAGUCCACGCCGUAAACGAUGGAUACUAGCUGUUGGAGGUAUCGACCCCUUCAGUAGCGAAGCUAACGCGUUAAGUAUCCCGCCUGUGGAGUACGGCCGCAAGGCUAAAACAUAAAGGAAUUGACGGGGCCCGCACAAG